rnacentral:lncRNA from 1 species
GAAGCUGUGACAUGGGCAUCACACACAGCUGCUACACCAAGGUUUCUCUACCACAACACUACUGACAUUUUGGACUAGAUAAUUAUUUGUCAUGGGGACUGGCAUGUGCCUUGUAGGAUGUUAACCAGCACCCCUGGACUUUACUGACUACAUGCCAGCUGCCCCCUGUCCAGUUGUGACAAGAAAAAAUAUCUCUAGACAUGGUCAAGUGUCCCUAGGGAGGCAAAAAUCACACCCAGUUGAGAACCACUGUGCAACACUGUGUAACCUUGGGCAAGUUGCUUCACUUCUCUAAAUCUGUUCUUUUUUUUUUC